rnacentral:rRNA from 1 species
UACGUAGGAUCCAAGCGUUGUCCGGAUUUACUGGGUGUAAAGGGUGCGUAGGCGGUCGGGUAAGUCUGAUGUGAAAUCUCACAGCUUAACUGUGAAACUGCAUUGGAUACUAUCCGGCUCGAGGAAUGGAGGGGAGACUGGAAUACUUGGUGUAGCAGUGAAAUGCGUAGAUAUCAAGUGGAACACCAGUGGCGAAGGCGAGUCUCUGGACAUUUCCUGACGCUGAGGCACGAAAGCCAGGGGAGCAAACGGG